AUUGAACGCUGGCGGCAGGCCUAACACAUGCAAGUCGAGCGAGCGGCGGACGGGUGAGUAAUGUCUGGGAAACUGCCUGAUGGAGGGGGAUAACUACUGGAAACGGUAGCUAAUACCGCAUACCAUCAGAUGUGCCCAGAUGGGAUUAGCUAGUAGGUGGGGUAAAGGCUCACCUAGGCGACGAUCCCUAGCUGGUCUGAGAGGAUGACCAGCCACACUGGGACUGAGACACUGCCCAGACUCCUACGGGAGGCAGCAGUGGGGAAUAUUGCACAAUGGGCGCAAGCCUGAUGCAGCCAUGCCGCGUGUAUGAAGAAGGCCUUAGGGUUGUAAAGUACUUUCAGCGGGGAGGCGUUACCCGCAGAAGAAGCACCGGCUAACUCCGUGCCAGCAGCCGCGGUAAUAC
rnacentral:rRNA from 1 species